rnacentral:misc_RNA from 1 species
GAUGAAGAACGUAGCGAAAUGCGAUAAGUAAUGUGAAUUGCAGAAUUCAGUGAAUCAUCGAAUCUUUGAACGCACAUUGCGCCUGCCAGUAUUCUGGCGGGCAUGCCUGUUCGAGCGUCAUUUCAACCAUCAAGCCCCAGGCUUGUGUUGGGGACCUGCGGCUGCCGCAGGCCCUGAAAACCAGUGGCGGGCUCGCUGUCACACCGGGCGUAGUAGAUUUUAUCUCGCUCUGGGCGUGCUGCGGGUUCCGGCCGUUAAAAAACCCUUUUAACCCAAGGUUGACCUCGGAUCAGGUAGGAAUACCCGCUGAACUUAAGCAUAUCAAUAAGCGGAGGA